GGGGCGGCUCAGUCCAGGAUG
rnacentral:miRNA from 1 species